CCCACAGAGAAAACAACCGUCUUUACCAAACAGACAGAUAUACCAUCAGAGAGACUCCCAGAACCUGCAACACAAAGAAAAGUCUUACCGGCCAGUAGUGCACAAAUAUGUUCAAUGUUCUUCAUGUCUCUGGUCCAGCUGACCUGGUUGCUAUGGUCACAGAUGACUGAUAGAUUUGACAGGUCACCGUGAGGUUACACGAGUCUGAGCUGCUGGACACAGAAUUGACAGUCAGGUCGACCAGUGACACUGGAUCUGAGGGGGGAGGAGGUGUUUAAAGGAAAAUACACGUCAGUGGUUACUCUCCAUCAAUGUCUGACAAGUUGCAAUACUUACCUUGAACCGUGAUGUUGUAUUCAGUUAAUAUUACUGUAUCUUGAGGCCCUAUCAUUUGUGCAGUAUAAACUCCACUGUCUGCCUCUUGAAGAUUCUUCAGUUUCACAGUGAUUUCUCACAGAAAACUCAAC
ensembl:lncRNA